AGGGUUCGAUUCUGGCUCAGGAUGAACGCUGGCGGCGUGCCUAACACAUGCAAGUCGAGCGGGGAAGCCGGAACAUGUAGAGAUAUAUGAGAAAGCAUCCUAGCGGCGGACGGGUGAGUAACACGUGAGGAACCUGCCUUACACAGGGGAAUAACACCGUGAAAACGGUGCUAAUACCGCAUAACACCGCACUAUGGCAUCAUAGAGCGGUCAAAGGAGAAAUCCGGCGUAAGAUGGCCUCGCGCCCGAUUAGUUAGUUGGUGGGGUAAUGGCCUACCAAGACUGCGAUCGGUAGCCGGACUGAGAGGUCGAACGGCCACAUUGGAACUGAGAGACGGUCCAGACUCCUACGGGAGGCAGCAGUGGGGAAUAUUGGGCAAUGGGGGGAAAAACCCCCUGACCCAGCAACGCCGCGUGAAGGAAGAAGGCCUUCGGGUUGUAAACUUCUUUGAUCAGGGAAGAAACAAAUGACGGUACCUGAAAAACAAGCCACGGCUAACUACGUGCCAGCCGCUGC
rnacentral:rRNA from 1 species